rnacentral:miRNA from 1 species
CCCCACCCCGUCUCCUCC